CGCUGAAGCACCAGCUUGCUGGUGUGGAUGAGUGGCGAACGGGUGAGUAAUACGUGAGUAACCUGCCCUUGACUCUGGGAUAAGCCCGGGAAACUGGGUCUAAUACUGGAUGCUACAUGUCACCGCAUGGUGGUGUGUGGAAAGGGUUUACUGGUCUUGGAUGGGCUCACGGCCUAUCAGCUUGUUGGUGAGGUAAUGGCUCACCAAGGCGACGACGGGUAGCCGGCCUGAGAGGGUGACCGGCCACACUGGGACUGAGACACGGCCCAGACUCCUACGGGAGGCAGCAGUGGGGAAUAUUGCACAAUGGGCGAAAGCCUGAUGCAGCGACGCCGCGUGAGGGAUGACGGCCUUCGGGUUGUAAACCUCUUUCAGCAGGGAAGAAGCCACAAGUGACGGUACCUGCAGAAGAAGCGCCGGCUAACUACGUGCCAGCAGCCGCGGUAAUACGUAGGGCGCAAGCGUUGUCCGGAAUUAUUGGGCGUAAAGAGCUCGUAGGCGGUUUGUCGCGUCUGCUGUGAAAGCCCGGGGCUUAACCCCGGGUGUGCAGUGGGUACGGGCAGACUAGAGUGCAGUAGGGGAGACUGGAAUUCCUGGUGUAGCGGUGGAAUGCGCAGAUAUCAGGAGGAACACCGAUGGCGAAGGCAGGUCUCUGGGCUGUUACUGACGCUGAGGAGCGAAAGCAUGGGGAGCGAACAGGAUUAGAUACCCUGGUAGUCCAUGCCGUAAACGUUGGGCACUAGGUGUGGGGGACAUUCCACGUUUUCCGCGCCGUAGCUAACGCAUUAAGUGCCCCGCCUGGGGAGUACGGCCGCAAGGCUAAAACUCAAAGGAAUUGACGGGGGCCCGCACAAGCGGCGGAGCAUGCGGAUUAAUUCGAUGCAACGCGAAGAACCUUACCAAGGCUUGACAUAUACCGGAUCGUUCCAGAGAUGGUUCUUCCCCUUUGGGGUCGGUAUACAGGUGGUGCAUGGUUGUCGUCAGCUCGUGUCGUGAGAUGUUGGGUUAAGUCCCGCAACGAGCGCAACCCUCGUUCCAUGUUGCCAGC
rnacentral:rRNA from 1 species